UACGUAGGGAGCAGGCGUUAAUCGGAAUUACUGGGCGUAAAGCGUGCGCAGGCGGUCUUUUAAGUCAGAUGUGAAAUCCCCGGGCUUAACCUGGGAACUGCGUUUGAAACUGGAAGGCUAGAGUGUGGCAGAGGGGGGUGGAAUUCCACGUGUAGCAGUGAAAUGCGUAGAGAUGUGGAGGAACACCGAUGGCGAAGGCAGCCCCCUGGGCUAACACUGACGCUCAUGCACGAAAGCGUGGGGAGCAAACAGG
rnacentral:rRNA from 1 species